CUCUGUGGAUUCUGGCAGCUAUCAGCAGAGUAAAGGUAAAGCCAUGAAACUUCUCUUAAUAUAGUAUAAACCUAAACUGAUAUUGAUUUUUUCAGUGGCUAAAUCCACAGCAGUACAUUGCUUAGCUUCCAGACAGACUUCAGCCUGUUUCUCUAAACUGGGGGAGUGCUGACUGACUACUACUGUCUGUACACUGACUAUGCAUAAGUGCCCCAAACAAACCCACUUCAAAAACUCCAAACUAUCUCUUUUAAUGUUUUUUUUAGUAAUAUAACAAGUGAACAUCUAUUUCUACAAAAGCAUUUGCUGCCUGAUUCCUGAUUAGUACGAUUUUAAGCACUUGUAAUGGAUUACAAUUGCAGUCUCAUUCUUAAUGAGAUGGUUGCUGUAAUGCUAUUAAUUUUAAUCUGGUUCUCUAAUCUCUGUUUACAGGUUCAGAUUCAUUAAUCUCAGAUUAUCGCUCAACAUCAGAUACGUCACACUGGUCCAUUUGCUCGGUAGAGAUCACAAGGUCAACGGUGAAGCCACAGCGGCGCAAUUCUUUUUUUUAAAAGCAGGGUCAUGGGUCUGAAAAAAAUCAUGCAGUACUUCCCAACAGGAAUGUGUCUUCUCAUCGGAUAAAGAGAAAUUAGGGCUUUCUGGUGCAAAAGUAGCCCACAAA